UACGUAGGGUGCAAGCGUUAAUCGGAAUUACUGGGCGUAAAGCGUGCGCAGGCGGUUGUGCAAGACAGAUGUGAAAUCCCCGGGCUUAACCUGGGAACUGCAUUUGUGACUGCACAGCUGGAGUGCGGCAGAGGGGGAUGGAAUUCCGCGUGUAGCAGUGAAAUGCGUGGAGAUGCGGAGGAACACCGAUGGCGAAGGCAGCCCCCUGGGCUGACACUGACGCUCAGGCACGAAAGCGUGGGGAGCAAACAGG
rnacentral:rRNA from 1 species